rnacentral:sRNA from 1 species
GUUUCAAUUCCUCAUAGGCAGGCUAUCGGCCCUGUUCUGUCUGACCUGCAUACCAUGCGUGACUACG